CAAUAGCGUAUAUUAAAGUUGUUGCGGUUAAAAGCUCGUAGUUGGAUUUCUGCCGAGGACGACCGGUCCGCCCUCUGGGUGAGCAUCUGGAUCGGCCUGGGCAUCCUCUUGGGGAACGUAGCUGCACUUGACUGUGUGGUGCGGUAUCCAGGACUUUUACUUUGAGGAAAUUAGAGUGUUUCAAGCAGGCUCACGCCUUGAAUACAUUAGCAUGGAAUAAUAAGAUAGGACCUCGGUUCUAUUUUGUUGGUUUCUAGAGCUGAGGUAAUGAUUAAUAGGGAUAGUUGGGGGCAUUCGUAUUUAACUGUCAGAGGUGAAAUUCUUGGAUUUAUGAAAGACGAACUUCUGCGAAAGCAUUUGCCAAGGAUGUUUUCAUUAAUCAAGAACGAAAGUUGGGGGCUCGAAGACGAUCAGAUACCAU
rnacentral:rRNA from 1 species